UCUAGAGUUCAAUAUAUUUUGCCCCUUUUGGUUUGGCUAAAAAUCAUAUUUUUAGUAAAUUUUGAUAAAAGUUAAUGAAAUGGUUCCCCAGAUUAUUUAGACCAAAUUUUAACUGCAAACAUUUACCAGAUAAACCCACAUAUAGAAAAAAUCACUUCGAUACAAUAAACAAAACAUAAACAUGUAAAUAAAAUAAAAAUCUAAAAUACCAGCACAAGUUCUUUCCUUCAUGAGCUUGUAGAUUAGUACUGAAAUUCCAAUAGAGUGGACAGCCUCGGCGGCGACGAAGAUGUUGUCAUGAUCGUGGACAAUGGCCCGGAGGAGGACAAGAGCCGCCAUUCCAAUGACCACCGCCAGGAAAGCCUUCAUCUUUGGCGGCUGCCUCCGUACCCAUGUUGACACUACAUGGAUCAGCCUCCUCGGUGGCCUCAUUUUUGGCUCACUGUUUGUUGCUACUUAUGUAUAUUAUAUGUGCACUUUACAGGAAUUUCUAUAGUGUGUAUAUGAAGGGGAAGAGGACGAAAAAGAGGGGGAGAAAUCAAGGGAAAAAGGAUGGAAAUGAAAUUGAAUCUAGAGCAGUGAUCUUGAUUGUAACGAGGAAUCAAAUCA
rnacentral:lncRNA from 1 species